UACGUAGGGUGCGAGCGUUGUCCGGAAUUACUGGGCGUAAAGAGCUCGUAGGUGGUUUGUCGCGUUGUUCGUGAAAACCUGAGGCUUAACCUCGGGCGUGCGGGCGAUACGGGCAGACUUGAGUACUGCAGGGGAGACUGGAAUUCCUGGUGUAGCGGUGGAAUGCGCAGAUAUCAGGAGGAACACCGGUGGCGAAGGCGGGUCUCUGGGCAGUAACUGACACUGAGGAGCGAAAGCGUGGGGAGCGAACAGG
rnacentral:rRNA from 1 species